UCUCAGACUCAUUCAACCAGGCGAGGAUUCCAGUGAAACUUCUAGAGUGAGACAUUCACACUUCCCUCAUCACUGCAGCAAGAGGAUGGGCAAGACCUGGAGUGAGACCUGGGUGUGAGGCUGUUUUCCUGCUACCUGCAGAAGAGACCUCAGGAUUAGUUUAAUUGUGCACUUCCAUCUCUGACCCUUGGAUGCCUGGUCCUGAAAAUGAAAGAGACAAGCUAAAUGACUUAAAGGCAAAUGGAAUAUGAAUCAGAGGCAUCUUUCUCUUGAGAAUUUGGAAGGUUUCACUUGGCAACUUCAGGUGGAGAAGAAAGCUUGUUACUGACAAACAUAGAAAUCUUGGAAGCGGCAUCUUAAAGAUGACAGAGCCAUAAGGUAACAGGAUCCUGGGCCCUAUAUCACCACUUGGAAGAAAGCAGCACACAAAUCACUAAUGCACGUUUGGAUUUUCCUGAAUGAGAAGUGAGAACACAGCAAGAAAGCACCAGCCAAGAAUGAGGAAGUGGGCCCUCACUACAACACCAUUGUGCCAGCACCCUGAUCUUGGACUUCCCAGCCUCCAGAACUGUGAGAAAUGAAUUUCUGUUGUUUAUAAA